GGGAGGGAGGUGGGGGGGUCAGCCCCCCGCCCGGCCAGCCGCCCCGUCCGGGAGGUGAGGGGCGCCUCUGCCCGGCCGCCCCUACUGGGAAGUGAGGAGCCCCUCUGCCCGGCCAGCCGCCCCAUCCGGGAGGGAGGUGGGGGGGUCAGCCCCCAACCCGGCCAGCCGCCCCGUCCGGGAGGGAGGUGGGGGGGUCAGCCCCCCGCCCGGCCAGCCGCCCCGUCCGGGAGGUGAGGGGCGCCUCUGCCCGGCCGCCCCUACUGGGAAGUGAGGAGCCCCUCUGCCCGGCCGGCCGCCCCGUCCGGGGGGGAGGUGGGGGGGUCAGCCCCCCGCCCGGCCAGCCGCCCCAUCCGGGCCGUGAGGGGUGCCUCUGCCCGGCCACGGCCCCGUCUGGGAGGUGUGCCCAGCAGCUCAUUGAGAACGGGCCAGGAUGACAAUGGCGGCUUUGUGGAAUAGAGAGGGGAGAAAGGUGGGGAAAAGAUUGAGAAAUCGGAUGGUUGCCGUGUCUGUGUAGAAGGAGGUAGACAUGGGAGACUUUUCAUUUUGUUCUGUACUAAGAGAAGUUCUUCUGCCUUGGGAUCCUGUUGAUCUGUGACCUUACCCCCAACCCUGUGCUCUCUGAAACAUGUGCUGUGUCAAACUCAGGGUUAAAUGGAUUAAGGGCGGUGCAAGAUGUGCUUUGUUAAACAGAUGCUUGAAGGCAGCAUGCUCCUUAAGCGUCAUCACCACUCCCUAAUCUCAAGUACCCAGGGACACAAACACUGCAGAAGGCCACAGGGACCUCUGCCUAGGAAAGCCAGGUAUUGUCCAAGGUUUCUCCCCAUGUGAUAGUCUGAAAUAUGGCCUCUUGGGAAGGGAAAGACCUGACCGUCCCCCAGCCCGACACCUGUAAAGGGUCUGUGCUGAGGAGGAUUAGUAUAAGAGGAAGGCAUGCCUCUUGCAGUUGAGACAAGAGCAAGGCAACUGUCUCCUGUCCGUCCCUGGGCAAUGGAAUGUCUCGGUAUAAAACCCGAUUGUACGUUCCAUCUACUGAGAUGGGGAAAAACCGCCUAUCUCACCUAUCACCGCCUAUCACCACUCCCCAAUCUCAAGUACCCAGGGACACAAACGCUGCGGAAGGCCGCAGGGUCCUCUGCCUAGGAAAACCAGAGACCUUUGUUCACUUGUUUAUCUGCUGACCUUCCCUCCACUAUUGUCCUAUGACCCUGCCAAAUCCCCCUCUGUGAGAAACACCCAAGAAUGAUCAAUAAAAUAAAUAAAUAAAUAAAUAAA
rnacentral:lncRNA from 1 species